UGGCUAGUCGCACUUUAAACAUAUUUUACAUUUGUUUUCGUAUUAAGGAAUCUAGAGAAUGCAGUUCUGGCAAAUUAUUAAUACCUUCCAUUGCUUUGCUCGUUCUCCUACAAGUCUGGUUGCUGAUGCUGCAAAAGGAAUAGAAUUGCUCGUUUCUCACGGAGAGUCGGAUUAAUUUGCAUAUUUAAAUAGAAGUUUCAUUAUGUUAUUCAAUAUUGUACAGUUUUAGUAUUUAAUUAGAUAUAAAGUGUAUAUUGAUAUACGGAUACUGUUUCGCCGCAUACCGGAUGGUCCCGGAUAUUAGUCUACCACAUAGACCGGUCAGAGGAAAAUGAUAACUGGAUACUAAUGGUGAUACUUGUGGCAAUACUUAUAGUCCAUCGUCGUAGUAUGUGCUUUAUCUCGUAUAUGAUAAGCCAUGCCUUGUCAGAUGUUGGGACCCUAGGUAGCGGCGCUACCUGCAAGUGCCUGAAGCUAACUGUAAUCCUUUGUCAGAAGGUCUUAUGCAUGAUUAAGUAAAGUUGAAAAUUUCAAUUUUUCCGAAUACAUUUUGCAAUAUUUAUCGACCAGAUUUCAUAAGAGUCGUACUCAAGAUGUAAAUUCAUCAAAUGAUGCCAUCAAGAACUUUUCUGUUCUGUGGCCGAAUUUUAUUCAUUAGCCGACGAUCUUGUCGACUUGAUCAUAUGAAAAUUUUCCAGCAAUUGGGUUUCGGCAAAUUAGCGGACACUCAAUUUUGACAAUCAGGAAACAUAACUAAAAAAAAACGGUCCCCUGUCGCAUUUGCAAGCUUCAAGUGAAGCCGGGCAAGUUUGGACCACGCAGGGCUACCUGUAAAAAAACUAAAUAUACAGGCAUGUAAUAUAUAUAGCGGGAAAUCUGCAGCAGAAAGCAGUUUACAUCUCGAAAACGUAUUCCGCUUGACCAGUAUUGUCCCUUUUUCGCAUUUUUAACGCACAAAAAAUGACAAAGGAACACUUUUUCGGUUUCAUAGUUCUACUAAAGUUACUGUACCAUGCAAUACUAUCCGGUAAAUAUCUGGCGAAAUGUUAUCGGUACAUCCUUAAUAUAACUAUAUAUAAGGCUUGGCGGCACGUUAAUAAUUGGGUAUUGCUGUAAUUCAAAAUCCAAUAUACAAGCAUGCAUGCAAAAAUCAACAUGUAACACGUUGUUUAGCGAAACACGUUGUUUAGCGUUUAAGAGAUUUGAUUUACCACAGGAGACCCAGGUGCGGGCAAAUAGAGCCCGGGUGUCCACGGGGCUGACACCACCUGAAGCUUUUUUUGACGUUAUUUAGUUUAUCAUUUGAUUGUAGUUUUAUUGCGCACUGAACACAAGAUCAACGGACCGCGCGUAAGAAGGGCUCUGCCGCGUACGCGAAUGAAGAUGGUUGUCAAAAUGAACAGAUUUAUAAGGCCAAAUAAUAUAUAACAAAUAGAAAAGAGACUUAAUAAUUAUCGUAUAUUGUAUAGAUCAAGUAAUUUUUACGAAAUAUUUCUGGAAUAGUAAGAAAAUCCAGAUACUAAUAAUAUAUUCAAAACUAUUUAAUGCUUAAUUAAGAUUUUUAUUGCAGUUUAUUAAAUAUUUAUACCGUA
rnacentral:lncRNA from 1 species